rnacentral:rRNA from 1 species
AGGAUAAACGCUGGCGGCGUGCCUAACACAUGCAAGUCGAACGCGCUUUUUCGCAAGAGGAGAGCGAGUGGCGGACGGGUGAGUAACACAUGGGUACCUACCUUGGAGUGAGGGAUACCGGCGAGAAAUCGCCGACAAUACCGCAUACGCUUCUCUUCACCGGGAAGCAAAGUUGCGCAAGCGACGCUCUGAGAUGGGCCUGUGGCCGAUUAGCUAGUUGGUGGGGUAACGGCCUACCAAGGCGACGAUCGGUAGCUGGUCUGAGAGGACGAUCAGCCACACUGGGAUUGAGAACGGCCCAGACUCCUACGGGGGCAGCAGUGAGGAAUUUUCCGCAAUGGACGCAAGUCUGACGGAGCAACGCCGCGUGCAGGAUGAAGGUUUUCGGAUCGUAAACUGCUUUUUCUCGGGGACGAGCAAGGACGGUACCCGAGGAAGAAGCCCCGGCUAACUACGUGCCAGCAGCCGC